rnacentral:rRNA from 1 species
UACAGAGGGUGCGAGCGUUGUUCGGAAUUACUGGGCGUAAAGGGCGCGUAGGCGGUCAGCACAAGUCAGUUGUGAAAUCUCCGGGCUUAACUCGGAAAGGUCAACUGAUACUGUGCGACUAGAGUGCGGAAGGGGCAACUGGAAUUCUCGGUGUAGCGGUGAAAUGCGUAGAGAUUUGGAGGAACACCAGUGGCGAAGGCGACUUUCUGGUCUGUAACUGACACUGAGGAGCGAAAGUGUGGGGAGCGAACAGG